rnacentral:lncRNA from 1 species
UUUGCCAGGGUUUAGGAUGCCCUGAGUUAGAUGACACCAUGCCCUUUCUGGGUCUGACACCCUUUUUUCUCUUUAAGGUCUAAAUUACACAAAAUUGAGGUGGGGACAGCAAAAGAGAAAAAAAUACCAUGAGUGAUAAUAAGAAAAAGAAACAAUGAAGAAAGAAGGGAUUAAGUGGAUUGCAGCAUUAUGCAGCAGGCAAAAGCUUUAAUCUCUCUGAGUCUCAAAUUUUUCAUCUGCAAAACCAAGAUCAUAAAACCUUCAUCCCGGCAGCCUGGGUGGCUUAGCGGUUUAGCACUGCCUUCAGCCCAGGGGCGAUCCUGGAGAGACCUGAGNAUUCUGGGGGCAGCCUGGGUGGCUCAGUGGUUUAGUGCCACCUUCAGCCCAGGGUGGGAUUCUAGAGACCCGGGAUAGAGUCCCACAUCGGGCUCCCUGCAUGGAGCCUGCUUCUCCCUCUGCCUGUGUCUCUGCUUUUCUCUCUCCCUGUGUCUCUCAUGAGAAAUAAAACCUUCAUCCUUUUGGCUAUGUGUGUGUGU